UACGGAGGGUGCAAGCAUUGAUCGGAAUUACUGGGCGUAAAGGGCUCGUAGGCGGCCAACUAAGUCAGACGUGAAAUCCCUCGGCUUAACCGGGGAACUGCGUCUGAUACUGGAUGGCUUGAGUUUGGGAGAGGGAUGCGGAAUUCCAGGUGUAGCGGUGAAAUGCGUAGAUAUCUGGAGGAACACCGGUGGCGAAGGCGGCAUCCUGGACCAACACUGACGCUGAGGAGCGAAAGCCAGGGGAGCAAACGGG
rnacentral:rRNA from 1 species